CGGAUUGUAGUCUGCAACCCGACUACAUGAAGCUGGAAUCGCUAGUAAUCGCGGAUCAGAAUGCCGCGGUGAAUACGUUCCCGGGUCUUGUACACACCGCCCGUCACACCAUGGGAGUCGGAAAUGCCCGAAGUCUGUGACCCAACCGUAAGGAGGGAGCAGCCGAAGGCAGGUCGGAUGACUGGGGUGAAGUCGUAACAAGGUACC
rnacentral:rRNA from 1 species